rnacentral:tRNA from 1 species
UUCCCCGUAGUGUAACGGUAGCACACGAGUUUUUGGCACUCUUAGUCCAGGUUCGAAUCCUGGCGGGGAAACCA